UUUCAUAAAAGCGCCAGAACUUAAGUGAAUAUCAAGUUUUUAAUUUGGAUAUCUAAACUUACUAAUCCUGUAAGUGAAUUGGUUAAGCCUUAAUUGGAUAAACUAAAAAUGAAACUCCUACUAGACGUAGGAGUAAGUUCGACCAACCAAAUCGAAGAUUUGGGGUCUCACUUAAGUUGACGAGGAUGGGGAGAAUCGAGUUCUUCGGCGGGUGCCCCACGGUAUCGCACUACCGUUAACGACUAGUAAAACUAUAAAGUGAUUUAUAGGACAA
rnacentral:ncRNA from 1 species